UUGAACGCUGGCGGAAUGCUUUACACAUGCACGUCGAACGGCAGCACGGGGGCAGCCCUGGUGGCGAGUGGCGAACGGGUGAGUAAUACAUCGGAACGUGCCCGGUCGUGGGGGAUAACGUAGCGAAAGUUACGCUAAUACCGCAUACGAUCUGAGGAUGAAAGCGGGGGACCUUCGGGCCUCGCGCGAUAGGAGCGGCCGAUGUCAGAUUAGGUAGUUGGUGGGGUAAAGGCCUACCAAGCCGACGAUCUGUAGCUGGUCUGAGAGGACGACCAGCCACACUGGGACUGAGACACGGCCCAGACUCCUACGGGAGGCAGCAGUGGGGAAUUUUGGACAAUGGGCGCAAGCCUGAUCCAGCCAUUCCGCGUGCAGGACGAAGGCCUUCGGGUUGUAAACUGCUUUUGUACGGAACGAAAAGGCUCUGGCUAAUACCUGGGGCUCAUGACGGUACCGUAAGAAUAAGCACCGGCUAACUACGUG
rnacentral:rRNA from 1 species